GCAAAAGCCCUAUUCAGGGCUACAAAAAAUUCCGUUGUCGAAUUUAU
rfam:Picea glauca, whole genome shotgun sequence.